UCUCUGCAGGACCAGUGCUCUUUUCCGGCGCAUGCUUUCCUAUUUGAGUUCGGAAGAUAUUCGAGCUCGGCUGGUUCCGGGAAUAACGAGAGAGGGAGUUGUCCGCAAAAGUGGGGUGAGGGGUAAUGUGUACAAGUGUGGAGGCUUGGCAUCAGGAUAGCAAGAGUGCAGUUUUGCAAAAGAGUCCUUUGGACAGCAGAUUAAAAGGCGAGGGAGAAGGCAAGAAAGACGCUGGAUUUAGGGAAUGAGAUCUUUGAUAAACUGAAAUCAGAAUACAGAAUAAAAGAAUUGGAAGGGACCUUGAAGAUCUUCUAAUCUAACCCCUAUAUUAUUCUGGAUAUGUGGCUGUCCAAACUCUUCUUAAAAAUCUUCAGUGAUGGAGCACCCACAACUUCU